AAAGAGAAGCGACCUCGCGAGAGCAAGCGGACCUCAUAAAGUGCGUCGUAGUCCGGAUUGGAGUCUGCAACUCGACUCCAUGAAGUCGGAAUCGCUAGUAAUCGUGGAUCAGAAUGCCACGGUGAAUUCG
rnacentral:rRNA from 1 species